CAUGUGCGCAUAUUGUAAAAUUCUAAUAUGACUGAUAAACCUAAUGACGAUCAAAAGCAAUUGUAUCUAUUAACAAAUUUACAAGAAUGGACAGUGAAAGGUGUAAGCUUCGUUAAAGUAGAUAGUCUUCUGAAAAUAAUCGAUCAAGUGAUAACACUACUGCUGCUGCCAUAAAUCAAAUUAAGACAGAGUUGCUUCAAGAAAUAAGUAGCAAACUCGACUUUGUAAUAAUGAACACAACAAAAAUUCUUACUUAUUUAUUACCAGAAGAAAGUCUUCUUUUAAGACCAGAUAACUUUCUAG